rnacentral:tRNA from 1 species
UAAAAAGUAGUGUAUAGUGCCCGUAGGAAUUUGAAUCCUAAAGAAAAAAGUAAUUCUUUUUCUUUUUAA